UGCCAGCCGCCGCGGUAAUACGGAGGGUCCAAGCGUUAUCCGGAUUUAUUGGGUUUAAAGGGUGCGCAGGCGGAACUUUAAGUCAGUGGUGAAAUCUUGCCGCUUAACGGUAAAAUUGCCAUUGAAACUGAAGUUCUUGAAUGUAGUUGAGGUAGGCGGAAUGUGUUGUGGAGCGGUGAAAUGCGUUGAUAUCAUCAGGAACACCAGUUGCGAAGGCGGCUUACUAAGCUAUGAUUGACGCUGAGGUACGAAAGCGUGGGGAGCGAACAGGAUUAGAUA
rnacentral:rRNA from 1 species